rnacentral:rRNA from 1 species
CCCUUAGAUGUUCUGGGCCGCACGCGCGCUACACUGAUGCAUUCAACGAGCCUAUCCUUGACCGACAGGUCCGGGUAAUCUUUGAAUCUGCAUCGUGACGGGGAUAGAUUAUUGCAAUUAUUAAUCUUCAACGAGGAAUGCAUAGUAGGCGCAAGUCAUCAGCUUGCGUCGAUUACGUCCCUGCCCUUUGUACACACCGCCCGUCGCUCCUACCGAUUGGGUGUGCUGGUGAAAUGUUCGGAUCGGCCGUUUGUCGCGGUUUCCGCGUCAUGUGGCUGAGAAGUUCAUUAAACCCUCCCACCUAGAGGAAGGAGAAGUCGUAACA